CUCACAGUGAUGAGUUACAUACCGCCCCAGUCUGAUUACUGUGACCGAAAGGUAUUUUCUGAGUUGGU
rnacentral:snoRNA from 1 species